rnacentral:piRNA from 1 species
UGCAGUGCUUUUUUCCAAACC